rnacentral:lncRNA from 1 species
CAUAUAUAUAUAUAUAUGGAGAAAAUUGACAAAGUAAAUUCCAACUUACUAAAAUAAAUCAGAACAAACUUCAAUUCACAAAUGCACCAUUUAAAUCUCAUAUUGUCUUCUAAACACAAAUAAAUAUCAAAUUCCCGUUGACCAAUCCAUUUUAGCUAAAUGAAUAGUCAAUGUUAUAACAUUGUCAACCUACGUUAACAUCGUAAGAGUAUUAUCCCAAAAUCUCUAACUUUCAAACUGAAGCUUAAAAAACUUCAACUCUUCAAUAAGCCAUUUUAACCUUUGAAUAUUAUUUAGCCACAAGUAAAUCACUCGAUUUUAUUGGUCAAAACAAUCCAGACACAUGUUUAAUUGAACACUAAAACCUUAAUAACAAAGGUUGAACAUUAAAACGUCUUAGCAAAAAUAAUCACCUCUUAUAUAACUGACCUAAUCCCUUCUUAAAAGAAAAAAUUCCUAUGUUCUUUUCUAAAUCAUCUAUUCAAAAUAAUUUCUUCAUAUACAUUUUCUAAAUGGAGGUGAAUAAAGCUAAACUUAAAACAUUGUGGCAUAAUACCAAUAAUGAGUUAUAUCAAGUGUUGAAAUGGAUGUUAAAACAUGUGGUUGUAUCAAAUGGUAGUUGAAUGUCUAAUAAAUUUUAGAUGGAUGACUUGGGGAAAAUGAAUUUAUAUAUGUUCACAAGAGGAUAUAUCAAUUAUAUUAGGGGUGUAAAAUAGAGAUAUUUAAACGUGUGUUAGCGAGAUUUUAACAGAUUAAAAAAACGAAUCACAAAAUCUUGCCAAUGAAAAUAAGUGAUUUUUUGUGUCUAAAUGAUAGUUGAAGAUUAAAAUGACUUACUAAGGAGUACUUUUUUAGUUUGAAAGUGGGAGAUUUUUUGGCAAAUCAAUACAACUAAAACAACAUACUUUUUGACAUCCCCUUUACUUUGUUGAAUAUAGUAUUUACCAAACAUUUAAUAUAAAUUUAGUUUUUUUUUGGUGAAAUGUUAAAUUUAUAUUAAGAGGAUAAAGGUUUAUGUACAAAAAGAAUCAAAGGAAUAAAUUUAGUAAUAAUAUAAAUUUAGUUUAUUAUUAUGGUUUUAGUAAUAAUAGUAUUUUUUUCACCUGAUAUCUAUAAGAUUUGAUUUUUGUUUACGAGAUAUUCUUUAUUAUAACAGUAUUUUUUGUAUAAUAAUUCUAAGUAAAUUGUAACAAAAUUAAAAUUUUGACUUAUUUCAGUUACCAAAAAAUUAUUUUAUAAUUUAUAAAAUAUUUGCAUAUUGUGUGAGGAGAAUAGCUGGUGCUUUUAUUUUUAAUAAUUUUGGGCUUUAAAAUUUGAAAAAAAAUAUAUAUAACUUCCUUAAUUUCAAUAUAUUUAGAUAAUAAUCCUACAAGAUUUUAAUCUUUAUUUUGUAAAAGGUAUGCAUAUUGUGCUUUCAUUUUGAAAGUAUUUUCUGCUUCAAAAAUCAGAAAAUAGAAAUACGUUGGAAUACAGAACUUCCUUAAAUUUAAAAUAUAAAAAUUCCAUAAUUUUGAAAAUGCUUAAUGAGAGAUUUUGCAUAUAUCAAAAUAUAUUAAAAAAAUAUAAUAUGUAAGAAGAUAUUCCUAUGAAUAACUUGCGAAACACUAAAAUUACUAGGUGAUUUUCCUGUGCUUAUGCACGAGUAUAAAUACUUAUAAAGUUAAUAUACUAUAAUAAUUGAUUUAUAUUUACUUUUAAUUUUAAAUAAAUUUAUAAUUUGUAUGCAUCAUUUAUAUUUAUAAUAUUAUAUUACUAUAAUAGUAAAUAUGAUUUUAUAUAUGUUAUAUAUAUCUAAUUGGUUUUGUUGUUUUUACAAUCAAUUUAGUUAUCAUUUGGAUAAUUUGGAUUGCAUCUCUGAAUUCAACUAUAAUAUUUAUUAUUCUAAAUAUAUUAAAAUUUUGAUUAAUUUUUGGAUAAUUUGGAUUUGCAUUUAAGUGGUUGUUGUCUUAGAUAUGUAAAUAUAUUUUAUGAAGAUUAUGUAUAAUUAAAAAAAUAUUGUGCUUAGAAUAAAAUAAAAAAAUAAACUAAAAUGUCUGAUUCCAAAUUACAUAAAUUGAUAUAACGAUAUUAUUCUGAAGUCUCAUGCACAUAUAUAAGUUUUAGAAAAGAACUAAGUUGUAACAGUUGGUGAAUAUUUUAUUUUCAUUUUCAUAUGUUUUGAGUUGUCUUAUGAUUUAUAUUUAUAAAAUAAACUACUAUUCUUAUAAAAUUAUAUAUUCUUAUCGUAGUUAAAUCUAUGAUUUUAGAUAUAUGUUGGAUUAGUCGAGUCACCCAUGAGGUGAGUAUAUUGAGUUUCAUAUAUUCUUUAAAUUCAAAAGGAAGUAUAAUUAUUUUUAUUAUAAUUAAGUCAAAUAAAAUCAAUUUUAUUUAUCGUUUAAAUGUGAAUGUAUUUUCAUAAUAUUUAUCAAACUAUAUUUUGAUGUCUUAAAAAGAAUAUUAUAAAAUAAAGCGAUGCUCAACAGAAAGUUACAUACAUAAGUAGGUGAUACAUUUUUGGAAGUUCAUGACAUAUAUUAAUAUUUACAGUAAUUAAAAUAUUUAAUAAAUUCUAAAUAAAUUUAUGCCUUUGAUUUAUUGAAUGGAAAUUGAAAUUUAUUUUGGAUAAUUUUAAAAAUGAAAUUCAGAUUUGCUUUGGUAUUUUGAUUAUGGUUAUAUUAAGUUCCACAAACAUAAAAACAUAAAAAUUUUAAAAAAAAUUAAUAUUAAGAAAACAAACAACGUUAAUAAUGAUAAAAUAUAAUAUAUCUAGCUCACUAAAUUAUUUUUAACUAUUUGAUCAAACUUAUUUUUUUAAUUUUUUUUUUAGUUUUUAAUAUCUCUUAAAAAUAAGCAUUAAAACAAAUUGUGAUUGUAUUUGAAAAUAAUAUUAUAUAAGUUAAAUAUAAUUAAUUGAUUUUUUUACAGUAAUUGGAAGAUAUUAUAGACAACUAAAUAUAUAUAAAAAAACACUUCAAUAAUACUAAUUAUAAACUAUUUUUAGUCAAUUAAACAUAAAUCAGUUUAUGUUGCCUAAUUAUAUUAUGUAAUCAUCUAAGAAAAUAAAUAGAUAUAUAAAAAUAUUUCUAUUACUUUGAAUUUUUUUGUAUUGUUUAAAAUUAUGUUUUAAAAUAAAUAUUAUUUCUUUUUCUAAUAUCAAGACUAUCUAUGUAAAUUGUUUUUAAUGAAAUUGCAUUAUAUACAAAUUUAUAUUUUUCAUCUUAGAAAAUAUAGAUAUAAAGAAAUUAUUUUAUUACUUUAAAAUUAUAUUUUAUGUUUUUUAAAAAUAUUUUUUAAAUGUAAUAUUACUAUUUUGUGAACUUUCCUUUUUUUAUGAAAUCAUAUUAUAUAUACAUAUAUUUUCGUUUUUCAUUUCAUUUUUUUUAAUUUAUUAAAAAUUUCCUUUUUUAUUAUAUGUAUAUGUUUUUGGAAAUUCUUUAAAAAUAAGCUAACCAAAAAAAUAAAUAAUAGUAUUUAAUAUUUUUAAUUCAUUAAGGGUAUGAAUGUAAUCAACCAUCGUGAGAGUUAAUGUGAGAAUGACAUAUAGGAAACAGACUUCUCAAAAAAUAUUAUAGAGAUCAACUCCACUAUUUUUGUUAUAGAUUACAAUUUAUAAAAUAUAGAAAAUCUGAUUAUGUUAUCUAUUUAAUAUUUUAUAAUAAAAAUAUAUUCGAUACACAAUAUAUAUAUAUAUAUAUAUAUGUAUAUCGACUUUCAUAGUAUCUAUACGAAUAUCCUUGGAAUAUCGUUUGACCUUCAAAAAUUCUUGCUGUAUACUAUUGUCAUAAAUAAGAAAAUUACCUAGCAAUAAAUAUGUAAAUUAUUAAUAUUGGAAGAACUGAAUCACCCAAAUAUUUUUAUACAAAUAGUUAAGUUUAUCGAAUAUUUUAUGUAAAACUAAAAAGUGAUAUUUACUUGUAUUAUUUGAGAUUAUCCCAAAAUCGGGACCCAAUCAAGAACCAAACUAAACUCAAGAUUUUAACGGGUUUCUAACAUUGUUAUUCGGAAUAAACCGAUAACCAAAAUAACCAAACCAAGAAAAACUCAAAUUUAUAAAUAACCAAAUAUUUCCUAUAUCUCUUGAACCAGAAAAACAAAAAUCAAAAACUGAAUAGAGUAUUAUCCCAAAAUCUCUAACUUUCAAACUGAAGCUUAAAAAACUUCAACUCUUCAAUAAGCCAUUUUAACCUUUGAAUAUUAUUUAGCCACAAGUAAAUCACUCGAUUUUAUUGGUCAAAACAAUCCAGACACAUGUUUAAUUGAACACUAAAACCUUAAUAACAAA